AGAAUAUUUACUGAAAAGUCCCCAAAUUAAUAUUGGCACUUUUCCAUUAAUAUUGAUGAAGACUUGAGUGCAACAAAUAAAUCACAAGUAUAUUAAGUCACAAACAACACCAGAAGCCCGACAAUAAGCUCCAAAAAAUUUCACAAAGUUCAUCAACAUUAAGCUUUUACUCAUUAAUAACAACCUUAUAGGAAAGGAGACAUUUGUUACAAAGACAAAACAACCUUAUGCGAGCGGAGAAUUGAUGUUAAUGCUAAUAUCACCGCUUCUAACAACACAAAGAAAACAAUCCUUACAGAUUCUAGAAGUUAACCCAAAUUACAAUAUUUACUACAUCUACAAUAACAUGAUUAAAAUCAAUACCCAAGAACAAACAAGUGCAGCAAUAAAUUUUAUUCUUCGCAUUUUGCCUAUUGCACACAUUUUCUCCAUCUCUUGCUCCAUUCCGUUAAUCUUUUGAAGUAAUCCGGGGAUUAUUUGUCUUGAUCUGUCACACAUUGGAGGAUCAUACCAAGCAAAAAAUUGACAAGCAUUCCUCUGUGAACAAAGAAGAUUUCAAUUUUAUGUGCAAGUAACUAGAAUGGAAGAGAUAUAUAAAAAAAUUGAAACCCUAACACACUUACUUUUCCAUAAUUCGGACAUGAUAAAAACCUUCUUCCUGGUUUGAAUCGGUCCAUGCUGUUUUAAGUUGCGGCCGCCUCUCACAGUCACAAUGUGUGUUUAUAGCUGCUCAAACGAAAUGUAUUCAAACACGAAUAGAGUGAGAAAGUCUUUCUCAAACACGAAUAGAGUUACUGAUAUAUGGAAUGCUAUACACUAGCACCACUUUGUUGCAGCAAGUUACAAGUCGAAUUAGCAUCACUCAUUCACAUCCUAAUAAAAUGAUGUCACAUUCAGGUACUUGUUUCUCAUUAAACCCACAGGAAUAAAUAUUAAUGAGGCAACCACCAAAUUGUGCAUAUAAAAAGACAAACACUCACCAAGGCCAAAAGCAAAACAAACUAUUGACUUAAAGAAAUUUCAAAGGAAAAAUGUGCAUUACAGCUUUUGUAUGGCAAGUUCAUUCUUUGUUCGAUUUAUCAGCGUUAUGCUCUUCUCCAAUUCAAGUAAAACUUCUUGCUUCUACUUUUUAGAUAUAAACCCAUCCAUGUUAUUAAAGCUCAUGCAGAAAUAGUAAUCAACAAAAUCAUUGUAUUUUAAAUAGAUUUCAGAAGUAUACAAUCAUGUAUACAUUAAUUGCCAUGGUCCAGGUAAGAAACAACUCUUAUUGAUUGCAUAGGUUUAAAUUGUUUUGUUCCUUUUCCUGCGAAACUGAAAUAUGUAUACAGAAGUUGUUGAGCAAUUGAUAAGCCAAAGUUCAGCAAUCCAUCAAAUUCAGGGUUCUCUCCUCCUAAGUCUUACUUAUAUAAGUGCAAAUUGUCCAUAUUGCAUUACUGGCUUCAUUAAUUAGCCUUUUUCGUUUAUUAUACCAUGAUUCUAGCUUGCAAUGUUAAUGCCACUAUAGCAUGAACACAUUCUUGGUAUGUUCAGAAUAUAGCAUUCUGGGGUAUGCCCGUGACUUUGUACAUUGAUUUUUAUUUUAACAAGUCAUUAAUUAGCAAAACACCAAAAAUGGGAAGGAAAAAAUGGAGUGAGAUAAAAAUACCCUUAAAUAUGAGCUGUGUAAAAUUCUCUUACUACAAAAAUUUCAGAUGCUAGACUAUGACUUUAAGCCAUGAGUUGUUAAAAUUUUGAAACAAUUGUCAAGUUUUUUUCUUUUUUUUCAGAAGAAAAAAAAUCGUAGCAAUAAAGUUUACUUUCCAGCUUUUUGCAAAAGAAAGAAAAGCCACAAAAUAUCCUAUACUAAUUCCAAGAGAACUUGAUAGAACAGAGCUAAUAUAUACUAUAACAGAGCUUGAUAUACACUAUAGUAUGCUAAGAAAGGUAGAACAUCUAUACACUAUAACAGAGCACUGACACAAACAUCAAAUUCUAGAGGUGCCGAAUAAACCCUAGAUUUCGACUAUGAAAUUCCACCAUUGGUGCUAUCAAUUUAAUGUAAUCUUAAAUCAAAACCCCCUAAUAAACUCUAGAUUUCAUUUGGUUUAAACAGAAAUUACAAAAAUAAUAAGAUGAAGUACCUUCCAGUGACUGAUAGCGUCGGUCGGUCCCUUUCCGAAGCUUUACGGCUGAAGGAUUCCUUAUCAGAUGCAUCGGUCGCCUUGAGAGAGAGAGGGAAGAGUUUGAGAGAGAUUGGGAUGGUGCAUCUGAUCUUCAAUUGGGUUUUAUUUUCUUCCUAACCCAUUUAAUCAACCCACUUUGACCCGCUGCGUUUUUUUUUAGAGUCCGUCUUUUGUUCGUUUUGUAAGUCCGCUUCUGAAGGAUUCCGUAUAUAUAUACAGUCGGUAUAUGUAA
rnacentral:lncRNA from 1 species